UACGUAGGGACCAAGCGUUGUUCGGAUUUACUGGGCGUAAAGGGCGCGUAGGCGGCCACCGCAAGUCGACUGUGAAAUCUCCGGGCUUAACCCGGAAAGGUCAGCCGAUACUGCGGGGCUAGAGUGCAGAAGGGGCAACUGGAAUUCUCGGUGUAGCGGUGAAAUGCGUAGAUAUCGAGAGGAACACCUGCGGCGAAGGCGGGUUGCUGGGCUGACACUGACGCUGAGGCGCGAAAGCUAGGGGAGCAAACGGG
rnacentral:rRNA from 1 species